rnacentral:rRNA from 1 species
CCCUGAUACUUAGACCCUCCGGAAGCAACGUUGAAGACGACGACGUUGAUAGGCCGGGUGUGUAAGCGCAGCGAUGCGUUGAGCUAACCGGUACUAAUGAACCGUGAGGCUUAACCUUACAACGCCGAAG